rnacentral:rRNA from 1 species
UACGUAGGGUGCGAGCGUUGUCCGGAAUUACUGGGCGUAAAGAGCUCGUAGGUGGUUUGUCGCGUUGUCCGUGAAAACUCACAACUCAAUUGUGGGCGUGCGGGCGAUACGGGCAGACUGGAGUACUGCAGGGGAGACUGGAAUUCCUGGUGUAGCGGUGGAAUGCGCAGAUAUCAGGAGGAACACCAGCGGCGAAGGCGGCAUCCUGGACUGGUCCUGACACUCAUGAGCGAAAGCGUGUGGAGCGAUCCGG